UACGGAAGGCAGCAGUGGGGAAUAUUGCACAAUGGGCGAAAGCCUGAUGCAGCUAUGCCGCGUGUAUGAAGAAGGCCUUAGGGUUGUAAAGUACUUUCAUCGGGGAGGAAAAAACAAAACUAAUAAUUUUAUUUCUUGACGUUACCCGAAAAAGAAGCACCGGCUAACUCCGUGCCAGCAGCCGCGGUAAUACGGAGGGUGCUAGCGUUAAUCAGAAUUACUGGGCGUAAAGAGCACGUAGGUGGUUUUUUUAAGUCAGAUGUGAAAUCCCUGGGCUUAACCUGGAACUGCAUUUUGAAACUGAAAUACUAGAGUAUCGUAGAGGGAGGUAGAAUUCUAGGUGUAGCGGUGAAAUGCGUAGAUAUCUGGAGGAAUACCUGUGGCGAAAGCGGCCUCCUAAACGAAUACUGACACUGAGGUGCGAAAGCGUUGGGGAGCGAAACAGGGAUUAGAUACC
rnacentral:rRNA from 1 species